rnacentral:lncRNA from 1 species
UUGGUUUGCCUUAGAGGUGGAAAAACCCCAGCCUGGGGCUGUAACUGCCCUGUUUGAGCAAUUGGUCCUGAAUUGGCACUCUCAGUUGGGUCCCGCCAGAACCGCAUCAUCACAGUGGCGUAGUCGUGCUAGGAUCCACAGAACCAGGUCAAUUAAGCUUUGGGUCAGAAUCCCACGCUAUCCAAAUUUGAGAUUUGGGAUUGAGAAUUUGGUUGGUUAAAAAUCAGUGACCAUGAGCCAGAAGGCAUCAGCAAAAGCAAUGAAACUGCAAACCCUGAUGGACUGCCUGCAGUUUGAGUAUGAGCAAAAACUGGCAGAAAUUCGAAUGAAAGAGAAGCAAGCCUUGGCCCAGCUGGAGGAAGAGGCCGCUGAACGAGAGAAAGAAGCUGCUGAACGAGAGAAAGAAGCUGCUGAACGAGAGAAAGAAGCUAAUGAGAGAGAAGAAAAAGCUCGUAAGGGGCGUCUGGAACUGCUGGCUGCUGAGGAGAAAGCUCGACAGAGGCAACAGGAGCUGGAACAGGAGACUCACAAGAUGCAACUAGAAACUGGCAGACUUCAGCUCCAAGUCAAAGCAGCAAGGGAAGAACAGCAGAAACUGUAUCCUCUUGAAAGUCCAGUUUAUAACAAUGUUGGUAUGUUGUAUAACUCUGAGCAGUUGUCUGGGUGUAACCAAAUGUACCCCAACACUGCCACCUUUUAUGCCAAUGUUGUUACUGUGGGUUCAGUAGAAGGUGGCUCCAUAAAUUGUGCCAGUGCUAUGUACGGGAGUGGUAAUGGAAAAUUCAUACAGCGUGUAGAAGUCAAUGGUAAAAACUGUUUAGGGCAAAUUAUGGCAUCUAACAUCACUCUUGUUAAAGCAGAUCUGGUCAAAGAGGAAGAUUAUUUACCAAAUCAGAGUGUGAAUGUUGUGAUCCUCUAUGAGUUUACUGUCCGUGUGCCUUUAGCCAGAAUCCACCUCGAAUGGAAUGGGGCUAAGCAUGAAGUUAUAGCUGGGGUAAGGAAGUUAUUGCCUAAAGAUCUUUUAAUUGGGGAAAAUGUUAAAGCUUUGUUCAGUUCAGGUAGCCAGUCACAGGACAGGAAUGAUCUUACACAUGUGUCUAUUGUGGGCAAUGAUUUGCCUGAGGAGGGUUGCUCCAAAGGUUUGUCUGUGCAAGAAAGCAGUGUGUCUGUGAAUGGAGAUUCUGAAUGUCUGUCUAAUGUCUCAGAAGUGAAUCUGGAGUUAGAUCAAGAGCAAAAAGAUCUCAUUGGGGAGGAAAAUGUUUCUCAGGAGCAGAUUCAAGUAAAUGGUCAGGUGGAAGCCCUAACUGAGGAAGGAAAGGGUAGAUUUGUGAUGGGUGAUGGAUUGGUGGCUAGUACAGCUUGUAAAAGUGAACCUGAAAUGGGUAACUGUGGUUUGCUGGAAGUAGCUCAGUGUAGUGAAAAAAGCAGCAGCUUAUCUGUUGGAAGUGGCAAUGUGCCUGGUAGGGAAAGUUUGGAGGAGCCUAGGCAGCCUUGUGAGCUGAUGGCUUUGUCUAGUCAGCAGUUUGGGAAACCAAGGAUAGUGGAAGAUGAGUGUCCCUAUCCCUUACCUGUUUCCUGUGUGGAGAAAUGUGACAGUGAAGGAAAUGUGCCUGUAUCUGUUGGGCAUAUUGACUUGCCUAUGGAGGAAGCUACCCCAGUCUCCAAGCAGUUGUCUGUGAACAGCCCGGUGUGCUGGGACAAGGGAAAUGAAAUCCCAAACUGUGUGUCUGGUAAAGGAGAAUGUGUCUCUGGCUCUUCUGUGUCUGUGCAGCAGACAGAAGGUGCCUUUCAGCCUGUGAUGGUUGAGGGUGAUUCAGUUGUCUCUGAGUUGGUUGUAAAUACAGCUAAAGCCCAGGAAGGGAAUGGUCCUAAGUUUGUGUCUGCUGGGGAAGAUGGCACUGUAACUAGGGUGCAUCCAGUUAGUGUCUUAGCAAAAUCCCAGAGACCAGACAAUUCUGGUGCUUGUAGUUUGCCAGUUGCUAAUGUGUGGCUGGAAAAGGGUGUAGCAG